AUUGAACGCUGGCGGCAUGCUUUACACAUGCAAGUCGAACGGUAACAGGCCUUCGGGUGCUGACGAGUGGCGAACGGGUGAGUAAUGCAUCGGAACGUACCCAGAGGUGGGGGAUAACGCAGCGAAAGCUGUGCUAAUACCGCAUGUGAUCUGAGGAUGAAAGCGGGGGACCGAGCAGCAAUGUUUGGCCUCGCGCCUUUGGAGCGGCCGAUGUCGGAUUAGCUAGUUGGUGGGGUAAAGGCCUACCAAGGCGACGAUCCGUAGCUGGUCUGAGAGGACGACCAGCCACACUGGGACUGAGACACGGCCCAGACUCCUACGGGAGGCAGCAGUGGGGAAUUUUGGACAAAGGGCGCAAGCCUGAUCCAGCGAUGCCGCGUGCGGGAAGAAGGCCUUCGGGUUGUAAACCGCUUUUGGCAGGAACGAAACGGUGUCCGCUAAUACCGGGCGCUAAUGACGGUACCUGCAGAAUAAGCACCGGCUAACUACGUG
rnacentral:rRNA from 1 species